rnacentral:rRNA from 1 species
UACGAGGGUGCAAGCGUUGCUCGGAAUUAUUGGGCGUAAAGGGUAGGUAGGUGGUCUCAUUUGUCAGGGGUGAAAGCCUUGGGCUUAACCCAAGAAGUGCCCCUGAAACGGUGAGACUAGAGUGCUGGAGAGGGUCGUGGAAUUCCCGGUGUAGCGGUGAAAUGUGUAGAGAUCGGGAGGAACACCAGAGGCGAAGGCGGCGACCUGGACAGCUACUGACACUCAACUACGAAAGCGUGGGGAGCAAACAGG